rnacentral:rRNA from 3 species
CUCGGUCAUCGGAGCGGCGUGGAACUACUCUUUCCCAUUCCGAACAGGACCGUAAAACGCGCCAGCGCUGACGAUAGCUGUCCCUCGCGGGACCGUGAAAAUAGGUCAUGGCCGAGA